AAACGAAAACAAAUAUUUGUCAAAAAAAAAAAAAAAACCUUCGCAAACAUUUGCUAGGUAAAAGCUUGUACCAGAAUUUGUAUCAUAAACCCCAAAAUCGUUUGCACUUAUUUAAAAACUGCUGCAAGUUAAUCACAAAACCCCAAAAUCGGAUAACAUAAAAUCCCUCGAUCCGGAGGGAACUUGUGUUAAGAUGAGCGAUCUUGGAGAUCAUUCUGUAAAUGAAGGGAAAAGUGGAUUUGAUAGUACAAGAAUUGCGGAAGUAAAAGCUUGGCUUGUUUCUCAAUUUGAAUCUGUUGGAAAAGAUGUGCCGGAUUUUGAAUAUACCACUAGAAGUAUUUCACAUUUACAUUCUCUUGCUUCUAUUUCUCAAGCUAAGACUCAAGCUGCUGGAAUCGUUGCUUCAGAUCUUCGUCAGAAAGCAAUGGAGUAUCGUUCUCAAGCGGCGAGGAUUAGAGAAAUUUUACAAAGUGUAGGGUUGGCACAAGAAGGUUUACCACCAAAUGCAGUUACAUCUGUACAAGUUGUUGCGAAUGUUGCAAAUUUGUUGAAUAUAAGAGAUACUGAAAUGAGCAGUUUUCUAGUAGCAAUGGCUGAUAUUUCUUUGAGGAAGAGUGGAGUAGAGGAGAAAAGGGCAAAUGUACAAAAGGAGUCCAAAGUUUUACUGGAUUACACUCGCAAAGCUAUUUCUAGACUUACAUAUUUGAAAAGAACACUUGGACAGUUGGAAGAUGAUGUGGCUACUUGUGAGGGUCAAAUGAAUCAUUGGAAAACUAAUUUGACAAUUAUGCUUUCAAAAGAGCGUCAGUACUUGCAGCAGUUUUCUAAUUAUAAGGCAUUACUCAAUCGUGUGGGUUACACAUCAGAUAUCAGCCAUGGUGAAUUGGUUGAAAUGGAUGAACACCGAAAGGAGUUGGAGAAAAAGACAAAGCCUAUCAUGGAUACCUUGAGAAGCUACCAAGACUUACCUCCUGAUAAAGCUCUUGCUGCUUUAGCAAUUGAGGAAAAACGAAGGCAAUAUGCAGCUGCUGAAAAGUACCUUGAAGAAGUUCUGCAUUCAGCUCUUGCCACGUCAGAAUAAUUCCAGCACUAGCAGUAAACAACAAAGAAAAGAUCGAAAGUGAACGGGAGAUGGAAUGGGAACAGUGAAAGAGAAGAAUGAUGCUACAGCAGUUUAAUUGAUUGUUUAAAGCUUUGAAAAUGAGGUGAAUUUCGUCACUGAUUCCGACACUGGUUCAAAGGUACACUGAAUUUCGUUGGUUGAUCACAUCAGCUAAUACAAGGCCAGCGAGAAAGAUGUCAUUUUACCACAAGAUCUUCACAAAGGGCUACCUGGAUACACACACAACACAAUCUUGUUCCCUUGUUAUCGUUAAAUUUGGAUGUUUGAUAUAUUUUGUUUUGGAUUCCAUGAACUUAUAAUAUAAUAGUUACACGAUAAUGAACAUAUUUUGACUUCUA